rnacentral:rRNA from 1 species
UUAGGAAUCUUGCACAAUGGACGAAAGUCUGAUGCAGCGACGCCGCGUGGAGGAUGACGGCCUUUGGGUUGUAAACUCCUUUUGAUUUCUCAUGAAGUGAAAUCGAAUAAGCAACUACUAACUACGUGCCAGCAGUCGCGGUAAUACGUAGGUUGCAAGCGUUACCCGGUUUUACUGGGUGUAAAGGGUCCGUAGGUUGUCGGACAAGUCCUGUUUUAAAGACCUCGACUUAAUCGAGGAAAGGGGCAGGAUACUAUUCGACUAGAGUUAUAUCGGGGUUACUGGAAUUGACUGUGUAGGGGUAAAAUCCGUGGAUACAGUCAAGAACACCAAGCGCGAAGGCGGGUAACCAGGUAUAUACUGACACUAAGGGACGAAAGCUAGGGUAGCAAAUCAG